ACCUGCUACGCUGUAGCAGCACGUAAAUAUUGGCGUGUGAAAAAAGCCCCCAACCCCAAUAUUAGCAGUGCUGCUUCAGUGUGACGGGA
ncrna:Oryzias latipes (Japanese medaka) microRNA ola-mir-16 precursor